CAGCCGCCGCGGUAACACAGAGGGUGCAAGCGUUAAUCGGAAUUACUGGGCGUAAAGCGCGCGUAGGUGGUUUGUUAAGUUGGAUGUGAAAGCCCCGGGCUCAACCUGGGAACUGCAUCCAAAACUGGCAAGCUAGAGUACGGUAGAGGGUGGUGGAAUUUCCUGUGUAGCGGUGAAAUGCGUAGAUAUAGGAAGGAACACCAGUGGCGAAGGCGACCACCUGGACUGAUACUGACACUGAGGUGCGAAAGCGUGGGGAGCAAACAGGAUUAGAUACCCCGGUAGUCCCUGUCUCUUAUAA
rnacentral:rRNA from 1 species